rnacentral:rRNA from 1 species
CGGACGGGUGAGUAACGCGUGGGUAACCUGCCUUAUACCGGGGGAUAACAGCCAGAAAUGACUGCUAAUACCGCAUAAGCGCACAGAACCGCAUGGUUCGGUGUGAAAAACUCCGGUGGUAUAAGAUGGACCCGCGUUGGAUUAGCUAGUUGGCAGGGCAGCGGCCUACCAAGGCGACGAUCCAUAGCCGGCCUGAGAGGGUGAACGGCCACAUUGGGACUGAGACACGGCCCAG